CUUUCGCAGACUGGAGGAUCCCCAAAGCAGCACCCAGGCAGAGGCACACAAACAGGAACACAGGCAUCGUGGAGCUCGGUCUUUCCAUUAUUUUCCCACAAUAGACACAUUUUCAGUAUCUUGUAUAACAAAAGCUGAUACCUGCAAAGUACUUACUACAAAAGUGAAAAAUACUAGCUUGUACAUGUUGAACCAGUGGAAACGCAGUGCCUGUGCCUCUUAGUACUGUACGGCAGUCAGCUCCCCGCAGCGGAGCAGCUCCCAAGGCUGUCGGUGCCUUGCCAGCAUGCUGUUGAAGGGAGCAAACUUCUGGAAACUGUGGUCUUUUGCAAUUGUGGAAUAUUCUGCCUGCUGGGAUCACGC